AUACUGCCAGACUGGAACCGGGAGAGGUAAGAGGUACUACAGGGGUAGGAGUGAAAUCUUGUAAUCCCUGUGGGACCACCUGUGGCGAAGGCGUCUUACCAGACGGUCGACGGUGAGGACGAAGCGUGGGGGCACGAACCGGAUUAGAUACCCGGGUAGUCCCAGCCGUAAACGAUGCUCGCUAGGUGUCAGGCAUGGCGCGACCGUGUCUGGUGCCGCAGGGAAGCCGUGAAGCGAGCCACCUGGGAAGUACGGCCGCAAGGCUGAAACUUAAAGGAAUUGGCGGGGGAGCACAACAACGGGUGGAGCCCUGCGGUCUAAUUGGACUCAACGCCGGACAACUCGACCGGGGGCGACAGCAAUAUGUAGGCCAAGCUGAAGUACUUUGCCUGAAUCGCUGAGGGGUGGUGCAUGG
rnacentral:rRNA from 1 species